rfam:Salmo salar isolate Sally breed double haploid chromosome ssa21, whole genome shotgun sequence.
UGCACUCACUACUGUAAGUCGCUCUGGAUAAGAGUGUCUGCUAAAUGGCUAAAA